rnacentral:rRNA from 1 species
AAUGAACGCUGGCGGCGCGCCUAAUACAUGCAAGUCGAGCGAGAAGACGUAGCAAUACGUUUGUAAAGCGGCGAACGGGUGAGGAAUACAUGGGUAACCUACCCUCGAGUGGGGAAUAACUAGCCGAAGGUUAGCUAAUACCGCGUACGCUCCUUGGACUUCGGUUUCAGGGAGGAAAGCGAUACCGUGGGUAUCGCGCUCUUGGUUGGGCUCAUGUCCUAUCAGCUUGUUGGUGAGGUAACGGCUCACCAAGGCUUCGACGGGUAGCUGGUCUGAGAGGACGGAUCAGCCACACUGGCACUGCGACACGGGCC